rnacentral:lncRNA from 13 species
AUGUGGGGACAGGGACAUCCACCCUGCCCUACCCUGGAUCUUGUCACAGGGGAAACUGAGGCAUGGAGAGCCCUGGGAGGAUCCCGGGAGCAUCCCAGGUUCCCACAAGAGGAAACUGAGGCAGGGAGUGCCUGUCCCCCCGAAUGUCCCCAUAACCCACAUGUCACUAUUCCCGGCGUGUCCCUGUCCCCGGGGUGCCCCCAUCCCCCCAUCUCCCUGUUACGGAUGUGUCCCUGUCCCCCGCAAGUCCCUGUUCCCUGGGAUGUCCCUGCCCCCCCCGGGAUGUUUCUGUCCUUCUCCAUGUCCUUAUUCCCGGGGUAUCCCUGUGGCCGGGGUGUCCCUGUCCCCGACCCCCUGACCCCUACUCACCGCAGCACUACAGCCGCACCCUGCGCCCCCACGGCCACGUCCACCAGCCCGUCCCCGUCCAUGUCCACCCGUCCGUCCACGCUGAUCCCGAAAUACCGGAGGCUCCACCCCAGCGCCGCCGCCUCGAUGCGCUGGGAACCAGCGUUGUGGCAUCGCCACUGGCUCGUACAGGGUUGUGCUCACCGCAACCGUGGCACCCAGCCCCUCCCAGCGCUCCCAGCGCCGUCUCACCUGCUUGUACUGGGGCAGGAGGGUGCCCGGGGCGCCGUGGAACACGUAGAGAGCCCCGCGGUGCCCGUCCUCCAGCGGAGCUCCCACCACGGCUCCAGUCAGCCCGUCCUGGGGUCCAGCUGGAAGAGGACAACUUUGCCCUUGUGCUGGAAUCGAGGGGCUCCAGCCACAAACAAGCGCUGCCCCCCCGGGAGCUGCAGCGAGGACACGGAGUACCCUGGGGGGGGAAGCAGGGUCAGCGAGGGGGACAGCCCUGGGGAGACAGGGUCCCCAGUGUGUUCCUGGGGCACCCCAAAUAUACAGGACAUGGAGCACCCCUGGGACAUGGAGCAUUUCUGGAUCACCAAGCAUCCCAAAUAUCCAUCACAUGGAGCAUCCCCACUUCAUCCCUGAUCUCCAGGACAUGAAACAUCCGAUUCAUCUCAAAUCCCAAGGAUAUGGAGUAUGCCUGGCUCACCUCACAUCCCUCGGGACACCCUCAUCCCUUGGGAUCCCCCAUACCCAGAUAUGCUGCAUGGUUCUUCAGCUCCAGGGGGAAUUCCUCCUGAAACGCUUCGCGGGGUGGGACAAUGCGUCCACGCUGGCUCUCCUCCAGCACACCGCCCUCCCAGUCAUAGGCUCCCACCAUUCCAAAGAGGAUCCCAUCCUGCCAGGAUGGGUGGGACAUGUCACCCUGGGGACACCACAAUGCCUCCGUGUCCCCGACCCCCACCGAUGUCACUCUCCCAUCCCAGGACACUCAGCAGGGCUGGGAUGGGCUGAGGAUUAUUUUCCACCUUUCCCAGUGGGAUCACCUCGAGGCGAUGGAUGGAGAAGCCGAUCUGGGACAUUUCCAGCUCAAAGGCGCUCUCGUUGUCUCCAUGGGUGCCUGACCGGGGCAGGAAAGACACGCUGUUCCUCCAGCUGUGCUUCCAGCUGGAAUUCCCAGCCCUUCCCAGGAUCCCAGCCUCAAGCCGGCACCUUCCAGGCUGAAGAUCCGAUCUCCCAGAGCAUCCACAAUGUCACUGAGGGCAGCCUCAUCUGUGACAUUGAAGAAAUACUUCUCAUCGGGGUCGCUGGCGAUGGACUUGAUCUCCCGGAUGAAAUCCUCGGGAUCCUGCUGCCGACGCAGGUAGUGCCCCAGGACCUAAGGGAGGGACAGGGGUCAGCAGGAGCCCGCCCCGGGGUUAAGGGGAAUGCAGGGGUGCGGCUCGGUGGGAGGGGCCUCACAGCGAUGGCGUAGCGGGUGACAUUGUGCCGGUCACACUCCGCCAGCGCCGCCGGCAGCUCGUCCCCAUCGUGGGACUCUCCGUCCGUCACCACCAGCAGCAGCCGCGUGGCCCCCGGGCGCCCGCCUUGCGCCGGGCUGAAGGACUCUGUGCUGCAGGAAUGUGGCUGGCAGAAUGAGCCCCUCUUCCAUCCCCAUCCUAAUACUCUUCUCAAUCCUGACUCUGCUCCCAACCCUGAUCCAGAUCCCAGUCCCGAUCCUGAGCCCAAUAACAACCCCAACCCCAGUCCAAAUCCUGACUUGAUCCCAAGCCUGAUACCAAUUCCAAUACUGAUCCUUAUUCAAAUCCUGAUCGCAACCUAGACCCUAAUCCCAAUUCUGAUCCCAAUCCCAGCCCCACUCCCUCUCCCAAUCCCAAUCCUGAUCUCAAUCCUGACGUCAGUCCUGUCCCCAAUCCCGCCCCCCAUUCCCAAUCCCGCUCGCAUUCCCAUUCCAGAGCCCACCAUGCCUGCCGGAUGGCCAUGGCCGUGCGUGUCUCCCUCCCCUCCUGACGCGUCAGGUUCCGGGCGGCCUCAAGCAGGCGCUGGGCCGUGGGGUGCUGCCCCAGUGCCCACUCCUGCACCAGCCGCUCCCCAUACUGCAGCACCCCCACCUGAAACAGGGAGAGUCAGAGCCAGAGGGAGCCCCAAAUCCACAGGGACAUCCCUCAAAUCCCCAGAGUGCUGCCCCGGCAUCUGCUCCUGCACCACCCACUCCCUGUAUGGCAGCCUACCUCACAUUUCAAACGGGGGGAAACCUGAGCCAAGGAUCCCCCCAAAUCCACAGGGAGCUCCCCCAAAUCCCACGGGAACCCCUAAUCCCUGGAAAAGGGCACUUUUGGCCCCUCCAAAGCCAUCUCCAGCCGGCAUAGUCCUGGGGACAAUGACGUCGCCCCAGGGUGGCAUCUGCACAGGGGUGGCAUCACCCCGGGACAAUGGCAUCACCUUGGGGAAAAUGGUAUCACUUUAGGGGUAGCACCAUCCCGGGGGUGGCAUCACCCUGGGAUAACGGCAUCACCCCAGGGACAGUAACAUCACUCCAAGGCUGGCAUCACCCCAGGGGCAACAGCAUUGCCCUGGAGACAAUCAUCUUGCCCUGGAGACACUAUCCCAGCCUUGGGGACACCGUGGUGGCCAAGGUACCACGCCCUGACCUGGGUCUGCCCAGGACCAAUGAAGAAGCGUCCCAGGAUGUUCCCAAGGAAUGCCUGCACCUCCUCCCAGGGGUAGAUGCUGUUGGAGCCGUCCAGAACCAGGAUGAUGUCCAUGUAGGUGGAACAGCCUGGCAGGGAACACGGUGACACCAGGAUGGCACAUCUGAGUACAUCCCAGUACGUCCCACCCUACUCACGCUGUGCUGUGGGUGCAAUGGUUCCCACAAGCUGGAGCUCCUCAUUGAGUUGGACACAGCGGCCAGAGCUGAACACAGAGGUGCCACAUUCCUGGGACCAAAGUGGGGCGCAUGCCUUGGGGGGUGACAUGAGGACACAACAGUGGGUGAUGUCCAUCUCCCUCUUCCAUCCCCUGCCAUGCCUCAGUUUUCCUCUGUGGACGCUCUUCUUACCACAAAUUCACCAUCCUUGGAGUCCACCAGCGUCAUCCCAAGGUGUCCAGCGCUGCUGCGGAGCCACGGAGCCACGGCCCCUUGAGGACAUGGGGACAGAAGCAAGGUGAGCACCGUGGGGCCCCCAGGCCUCACCGGUCACAGCCACCCCCCCCCGGUACCGAGGCUGGCUUUGGCACAGGAAGAGUUUUGGAGUCCCACGCUGCACUUGUAGAUGUCACCUUGACCAUUCCCAUCCCACGGGGCUCCCACCAGCAGCCUGGAGGGACAAGGAGGGGACACAGAGAGGGACACGUAGUGGACACCGGGGAUGUCAUCACCCCCGCCCUACUCCAAGCCAGCCGCCACGUUUUGGGGGCACCGUGCCAGGCCCUGCCGCCCACACCGUGGCACCGAGGCCGCUUCCGUCUGUCUGUCCAGCCGUCUGGCCACAGCCUCCUGCUGCUCUGGCCCCUGCCCUUCUGUGCUUCUCCUUCUCAACCUCAAUCUCCUCCCUCCCUGCCUCAGUUCCUCCUUCCCAAACUCACUUCUCCUGCUUCCCACCUCAGUUUUGUCUUCACACCUCAGUUUGCCCCUCCCUUCUCCCCUUUUUUGACUCAGUUUCCCCCACCCACCCUCAGUUUCCCUCCUCCCCUUCUCAGUUCCCUCUUUCCCAUCUCACUGCCCCCUUCCUGUUUCUCCUUUCCUACCCCACUUUCCCCUUUCCUACCUCACUUUCCCCUUACCUACCUCAUUUUCCCCCUCCCUGCUUCAGCUUCCCUUUCCCCACCCUCCUUCUCCCCUUCCCACCUCAAUCUCCCCUUUCCUGCCUCACUUUCCCCUUCUCUCCCAUCUCCCCCGGGUCCCCUCGGGUAUCACUCACCACUUGUUCCCAUCGCCCCCCCACUGCAGCACCCGGUACCCAAACUGGGACUCGGGGGACCCCUGGAAGACCCGCGGCUGCCCCACGUCGAUGUUGAAUCCCUCACAGAGUCCUGGGGAAGUGACGGAGGGUCCUGAGGGUGGGGAGGGCAACCCGCACCCAUCCAACGGCACCCGGGAGGGGGAUUGGGGUGCCCGGCGCCCCACUGCGGGGGGAGGAAACUGCGGGGAAGAGGGGAGGCACCCCAUGGAGAACCCCCAGCACCCCAAACACAUCUCUGCCACCCAAAUUAAGUCCCUAGCCCCGACCCGAAGCCCCGCGGUGCCCAGCGCUGCCCACGUGCCUCAGUUUCCACUGCGGCGGGGAGCGUGGGGGGGUCCCAAUGGGUCGCAGACAGGCGGGGGGGGGUUAACCGGCCCCGACCCCCCCGGGGGAAGGGCGGGGGGGGGGGGAGGAAAUGCGCUUUUUUGUCUUUAAAAAAAAAAAAAAAGAAGAAAAAAGAUUUUCCAUUAAAGCCGGGUUUCAGCUCCUCUUACGGGCUCCCCUUCCCACCCUCACCCCAAAUCCAAGGAGAUUUAGGGGUCUUCUCCCUCUAAAAAAG